GAUCCUGCCGGGGACUGUCCCCCUUCACCCCGGACACAAGCCAAGUAACUCCCUAAAGCAAGAGCAACGGCCAGGAUGGAGGGUGAGCAAUAAGCGCUACGGGAACAAGCUAUGUGGGUACUACAGGUGCCGAGGCAUUAUUGUUACCACUGAACAUGAAGAUUAGCUUUUUCAGCAAAUUAAAGAAAACAGAGAAGAAAUCGGUGUCAGCGAAAGACAGUUAAUAAAGUGGCGUUAUCCACGCUUCCACUAUUAAGAAAAGAGCCCAGAGGACUGUGUAGGUUAAAGAAAGAUUCCUGUGGAUUAUUUUCAAAGCCUGUAUUUUUGUACGUACUGCUGAUGCCAAGCCAGAGAGAGAGAGGAGUGAUAUACAGUACACAUGACGGGGGUCUACAGCUCAGCUGAAAAGCCCAAGUGAAUUUUGGAAGCUAAUAAUGCAUAUGAUAGCUGCAAGAAUGAAACGUUAGAUCUCACCGUGGUGAGUGAAAUUCCGCCUCUCUCCAUUCAUUUCUAUGGUAUUUUUAAAGACGUAUUUAUCGAACUUUCACUCUCAUUUUAUCACUUUCAUUUUCUGCCUGGUAUGAGACUG